rnacentral:lncRNA from 1 species
AAAUGCAUUUUCUCCUUACGGAGCUGCCCAAUCGGGUUUCCAUUACCAGUAAAAAGUAAUAACCAGUAACAGCUUCUUCUCUGAGAGAAGUAACAUGAAUUUCUAAGCAGCAGCAAUGAUUCUCUGAAGAAAGUGGAAUAUGAAAAAUGUUCACAUCUUUUACCUUUAGAUGGGAGGAAAACAUGGAGCUAACAUCUCACUGAGGCUGGGGAAGUCCUUGCACAUCCCUGUAUCCACAUGCAAGGUAUCAGGAUUCUGAAGAUAGCCCAUGAGACAGCAUAUGAUCAGCCUCUCCAACAGCCUCUUGUUUGCAGACCAGCAGAACUUCUCAGCCAGUCUCAGUUCUGAAAGGACUGCCAAGUUCACAGAAGAAUCAAUAGCCAAGGAUAUUCACAUAGGAUAA